UGGGGAAUCUUGGACAAUGGGGGCAACCCUGAUCCAGCCAUGCCGCGUGAGUGAUGAAGGCCUUAGGGUCGUAAAGCUCUUUCGCCUGUGAAGAUAAUGACGGUAGCAGGUAAAGAAACCCCGGCUAACUCCGUGCCAGCAGCCGCGGUAAUACGGAGGGGGUUAGCGUUGUUCGGAAUUACUGGGCGUAAAGCGCACGUAGGCGGACCAGAAAGUUGGGGGUGAAAUCCCGGGGGCUCAACCCCGGAACUGCCUCCAAAACUAUUGGUCUAGAGUUCGAGAGAGGUGAGUGGAAUUCCAAGUGUAGAGGUGAAAUUCGUAGAUAUUUGGAGGAACACCAGUGGCGAAGGCGGCUCACUGGCUCGAUACUGACGCUGAGGUGCGAAAGUGUGGGGAGCAAAACAGGAUUAGAUACCCUGGUAGUCCACACCGUAAAACGAUGAAUGCCAGUCGUCGGGUAGCAUGCUAUUCGGUGACACACCUAACGGAUUAAGCAUUCC
rnacentral:rRNA from 1 species